rnacentral:lncRNA from 1 species
UCCCUCCGUGCCUGCCUCCCUCCCCUCGUGCCUCGGUCUUUUGUUGCCUCUACUCCUCGGCACGGCACAGCCUGGGCUCUUUUCCCCCUCCCGCUUGGGAGUUUGCAGUGUGGACGCUCGGCGAGCACAGGUAGUUGUGAGGAAGAAAUGAGAUCAUCAGUGGCAGUGGCAGCAUCAGUUAUUUGUGGAGAAGGGGAAGUCUGGUCCUGCCUCAUCUCCACUGUCCCUCCAGGGCCCCACCAAGUGAAUAGAUGGAAGAAAAAGAUGAGUACUGGCUAGAGAUAAAUAUGUAUAUGAUCAAGGCUAAGAAUCCGCAACCCAAGGGAGGAGAAUGAGAAAAGAUCGUAAUUUACAGCAGUUACCUCCAGAGCUUACUCAUCAGAACACAGAUAGAUUUAAUGGCUUAUUCUAGAAAUGUGGGAACUCAGAAUUUCUGCAGCUUCGUUUUGUAAGCAGUAAAGGAAUUGCCCUGCAGCCUAUCGCAGCGGAAGGUGAGGUGAGGAAUCCCAGCUGGACUGGGGUCAGGGGGCCAUGCUGCUCACCUCUGAGGAAGUUACAAGACUACAGGAUUUCAUCAAUGGAGCUAGUGCUCCGAUUUUCUGUUCCUGUCUCU